rnacentral:lncRNA from 1 species
AACUGAUCCAGAAAUGGCUCUGGCAGUACCCAAGGGUUCCUUGAAGGCAGGUCUGGGUCUGGUUCUCCGGAUCCCAACACCACGAGCUGUAAUCCCAUCGUCACUUCCUCUGGCAACACGGGGACUGCCUGCCAUGCCCUAACUCCUCCUUGUGCUUUUGGCCUUCGCCUAAGAGUUCCUUGGAGUUUCUUCACAGCAUCUGUAGCCAUCUGAAGUGUCAUCUUCUGUACUAUAUUGCCAGUGCCUACAAUUACGACUGGUAUACUCAACCAGGCGGCAGUGGUCUUGUACAAUCUCUCUCUGUAUUCUCAAGUCCCCAUCUGCGAGCAUGGCUACUGGAAAUAACUGCAGCUGUAUACUGACUUAAAGAUCCAAAAAUCCCAGGAAGGACCCCAGAGCUGUGAGCCAGAAGCCCAAGGCCCUCCCAGCCUGAAAGCCCCAGGCCAAGCCUGAACUAUAUGCAGGUGAGUGUUGCUUUGCAGUUACCAUCUCCAAUUAGUGUCCCCAGCCUCUUAAAGCUGAUCUAAUCCCACUCUCCUGAUUUCAGCCCCUCAGACAGUGCCUGCUGCACUCAAUACAAUCCAUGUUCCUGAUGACGUGG